rnacentral:rRNA from 1 species
UCAGCAGCCGCGGUAAUACGUAGGUGGCAAGCGUUGUCCGGAAUUAUUGGGCGUAAAGGGCGCGUAGGCGGUCCCUUAAGUCAGAUGUGAAAUCCCGAGGCUUAACUUCGGGCGUGCAUUUGAAACUGGGGGACUAGAGUGCAGGAGAGGUAAGUGGAAUUCCUAGUGUAGCGGUGAAAUGCGUAGAUAUUAGGAGGAACACCAGUGGCGAAGGCGACUUACUGGACUGUAACUGACGCUGAGGCGCGAAAGCGUGGGGAGCAAACAGGGUUAGAUACCCUGGUAGUCCACGCUGUAAACGAUGGAUACUAGGUGUGGGAGGUAUCGACCCCUUCCGUGCCGCAGUAAACGCAAUAAGUAUCCCGCCUGGGGAGUACGGCCGCAAGGUUGAAACUCAAAGGAAUUGACGGGGGCCCGCACAAGCAGCGGAGCAUGUGGUUUAAUUCGAAGCAACGCGAAGAACCUUACCAGGACUUGACAUCCCUUGCAUUACUCGUAACGGAGGAAAUCCUUCGGGACAAGGAGACAGGUGGUGCAUGGUUGUCGUCAGCUCGUGUCGUGAGAUGUUGGGUUAAGUCCCGCAACGAGCGCAACCCUUAUCAUUAGUUGCUAACAGUAAGAUGAGCACUCUAAUGAGACUGCCGGGGACAACUCGGAGGAAGGUGGGGAUGACGUCAAAUCAUCAUGCCCCUUAUGUUCUGGGCUACACACGUGCUACAAUGGGUAAAACAACGGGAAGCAAGCUAGCGAUANCAAGCAA